rnacentral:rRNA from 1 species
CCCUUAGAUGUUCUGGGCCGCACGCGUGCUACACUGAGUGGAUCAGCGGGUCAGGUUGCGCGAAAGCGUUUCCUAAUCUUUAAAUCCGCUCGUGAUGGGGAUUUACGGUUGCAAUUUUCUGUCAUGAACGAGGAAUACCUUGUAAGCGCGGGUCAUCAUCCCGCGCUGAAUACGUCCCUGCCCUUUGUACACACCGCCCGUCGCUCCUACCGAUUGAGUGGUCCGGUGAGGCUUUGGGAUCUGAGCGGAAAGAGCGUUUCGCUGUUUCUGCUCGGAAAACUCAGUCGAACCUUAUCAUUUAGAGGAAGGAGAAGUCGUAACA